CGCCUGUUUAUCAAAAACAUCGCCUCUUGCCAAGUUUUAAUUAGUAGUAUAAGAGGUCCCGCCUGCCCAGUGACCAAGUCGUUCAACGGCCGCGGUAUUUUAACCGCGCUAAGGUAGCGUAAUCACUUGUCCCUUAAAUAGGGACCUGUAUGAAUGGCACCACGAGGGUUUAACUGUCUCCUCCUCCCAGUCAAUGAAAUUGAUCUACCCGUGCAGAAGCGGAUAUCCUACCAUAAGACGAGAAGACCCUAUGGAGCUUUAGGUAAAAGAUCAAACAUGUAAACAAGACAAUAAAAUCCAAGGAUACCAAAACCCCCUUAAACCCAAUGAAAACAUGAUCUUAAUCCCUUCGGUUGGGGCGACCACGGGGGAAAAAGAAGCCCCCACAUGGAAUGAAUACAAUUUUCAAGCCCAGGACCACAAUCCUAAGCAACAGAACAUCUGACCACAAAUGAUCCGGAACACUCUACCACACCCGAUCAAUGAACCAAGUUACCCUAGGGAUAACAGCGCAAUCCUUUCCCAGAGCCCAUAUCGACGAAAGGGUUUACGACCUCGAUGUUGGAUCAGGACAUCCUAAUGGUGAAGCCGCUAUUAAGGGCUCGUUUGUUCAACGAUUAAUAGUCCUAUGUGAUCUGAGUUCAGACCGG
rnacentral:rRNA from 1 species